GAUGAACGCUGGCGGCGUGCUUAACACAUGCAAGUCGAACGAAGCACUUUAUUACGAUUUCUUCGGAAUGACGAUUUAGUGACUGAGUGGCGGACGGGUGAGUAACGCGUGGGUAACCUGCCUUAUACAGGGGGAUAACAGUUGGAAACGACUGCUAAUACCGCAUAAGCGCACAGGAUUGCAUGAUCCAGUGUGAAAAACUCCGGUGGUAUGAGAUGGACCCGCGUCUGAUUAGCCAGUUGCGGGGUAACGGCCCGACCAAAGCGACGAUCAGUAGCCGACCUGAGAGGGUGACCGGCCACAUUGGGACUGAGACACGGCCCAAACUCCUACGGGAGCAGCAUGGGGGAA
rnacentral:rRNA from 1 species